rnacentral:rRNA from 1 species
CAACCUGCCCUUCAGAGGGGGACAACAGUUGGAAACGACUGCUAAUACCGCAUACGAUCUAAUCUCGGCAUCGAGGAUGGAUGAAAGGUGGCCUCUAUUUAUAAGCUAUCACCGAAGGAGGGGAUUGCGUCUGAUUAGCUAGUUGGAGGGGUAACGGCCCACCAAGGCGAUGAUCAGUAGCCGGUCUGAGAGGAUGAACGGCCACAUUGGGACUGAGACACGGCCCAG